rnacentral:rRNA from 1 species
AUUGAACGCUGGCGGCAGGCUUAACACAUGCAAGUCGAGCGAGCGGCGGACGGGUGUGAAAUGUCUGGGAAACUGCCUGAAGGAGGGGGAUAACUACUGGAAACGGUAGCUAAUACCGCAUACCAUCAGAUGUGCCCAGAUGGGAUUAGCUAGUAGGUGGGGUACUGGCUCACCUAGGCGACGAUCCCUAGCUGGUCUGAGAGGAUGACCAGCCACACGUGAACUGAGAAACGGUCCAGAUUCCUACGGGAGGCGGAAGUGGGGAAUAGUGCACAAUGGGCGCAAGCCGGAUGCAGCCAUGCCGCGUGUGUGAAGAAGGCCUUCGGGUUGUAAAGCACUUUCAGCGAGGAGGCGUUACUCGCAGAAGAAGCACCGGCUAACUCCGUGCCAGCAGCCGCGGUAAUAC